AGAGGAGAGACAUGCGCGCAUAUCAAUAAGCGGAGGAAAAGAAACUAACUAGGAUUCCCUUCAGUAACGGCGAGUGAAGCGGGAAGAGCUCAAAUUUGAAAUCUUCAAGGUUUUACCUUGACGAAUUGUAGUUUAAAGAAGUGUUUUCUGCUGAAGUUUUGGUAAAAGUUCUUUGGAAUAGGACAUCAUAGAGGGUGAGAAUCCCGUAUUUGACCAUUAUUUUCAGCUUUGUGAUACACUUUCAAAGAGUCGGAUUGUUUGGGAAUGCAGUCCAAAAUGGGUGGUAAAUUUCAUCUAAAGCUAAAUAUUGGCGAGAGACCGAUAGCGAACAAGUACCGUGAGGGAAAGAUGAAAAGAACUUUGAAAAGAGAGUUAAACAGUACGUGAAAUUGUCAAAAGGGAAGCGUUUGACACCAGUGUUGUUUUCUCGAAAAUCAAUUAAAAAUGGCUCGAUUAUGUAUUGUUGAGACCUUAAAAGCUCACUGUACAUUUUUCGUGUCCUUUUUAAUGCACUUUUCGUUUAACAAGUCAACAUCAGUUUCUUUUGUUGUAAAAGGGUCAUUGGAAGGUGGCUUUCUUUUCGGAGAAAGUGUUUAUAGCCUUUGGCCUCUGCAAUCGGAGAGACUGAGGUCUGCAGCGUAGACUCUUCGGGGUUAGAUACAUUUGUGCUAAGUUAUAGCUUUUUAUAGACAACUUGUUGACUAUAAUUAGUCUUGUAGCUUACUCGCUUAUGCUAUUUUACCUACGCUUAGGAUGUUGAAGUCAUCGUAUCGCGC
rnacentral:rRNA from 1 species